rnacentral:rRNA from 1 species
UGGGGAAUAUUGCACAAUGGGCGAAAGCCUGAUGCAGCAACGCCGCGUGAGUGAUGAAGGUCUUCGGAUUGUAAAGCUCUGUCUUUUGGGACGAUAAUGACGGUACCAAAGGAGGAAGCCACGGCUAACUACGUGCCAGCAGCCGCGGUAAUACGUAGGUGGCGAGCGUUGUCCGGAUUUACUGGGCGUAAAGGGUGCGUAGGCGGAUGUUUAAGUGAGAUGUGAAAUACCCGGGCUUAACUUGGGUGCUGCAUUUCAAACUGGAUAUCUAGAGUGCAGGAGAGGAGAAUGGAAUUCCUAGUGUAGCGGUGAAAUGCGUAGAGAUUAGGAAGAACACCAGUGGCGAAGGCGAUUCUCUGGACUGUAACUGACGCUGAGGCACGAAAGCGUGGGUAGCAAACAGGAUUAGAUACCCUGGUAGUCCACGCCGUAAAACGAUGAGUACUAAGUGUAGGAGGUAUCGACCCCUUCUGUGCCGCAGUAAACACAUUAAGUACUCCGCCUGGGAAGUACGAUCGCAAGAUUAAAACUCUAAAGUGAAUUGACGGGGUC